GACGAACGCUGGCGGCGCGCCUAACACAUGCAAGUCGAGCGAUGAAAUUUUAACCGAUCUCUUCGGAGAGAAGAUAAAAUGGAUUAGCGGCGGACGGGUGAGUAACACGUGAGAAACCUGCCUUUCACAAGGGGAUAGCCUCGGGAAACCGGGAUUAAUACCCUAUGACACAUUUCCUACGCAUGGAAGAAAUGUUAAAACUCCGGUGGUGAAAGAUGGUCUCGCGCCUGAUUAGCUAGUUGGUGGGGUAACGGCCCACCAAGGCCAUGAUCAGUAACCGGCCUGAGAGGGUGAACGGUCACAUUGGAACUGAGACACGGUCCAAACUCCUACGGGAGGCAGCAGUGGGGAAUAUUGCACAAUGGAGGAAACUCUGAUGCAGCGACGCCGCGUGAGCGAUGAAGGCUUUCGAGUCGUAAAGCUCUGUCCUAUGGGAAGAUAAUGACGGUACCAUAGGAGGAAGCCCCGGCUAACUACGUG
rnacentral:rRNA from 1 species